rnacentral:rRNA from 1 species
GACGAACGCUGGCGGCGUGCUUAACACAUGCAAGUCGAACGGAAAGGCCCUGCUUUUGUGGGGUGCUCGAGUGGCGAACGGGUGAGUAACACGUGAGUAACCUGCCCUUGACUUUGGGAUAACUUCAGGAAACUGGGGCUCAUAUCGGAUAGGAGCUCCUGCUGCAUGUUGGGGGUUGGAAAGUUUCGGCGGUUGGGGAUGGACUCGCGGCUUAUCAGCUUGUUGGUGGGGUAGUGGCUUACCAAGGCUUUGACGGGUAGCCGGCCUGAGAGGGUGACCGGGCACAUUGGGACUGAGAGACGGCCCAGACUCCUACGGGAGGCAGCAGUGGGAAGUAUUGCACAAUGGGCGGAAGCCUGAUGCAGCAACGCCGCGUGCGGGAUGACGGCCUUCGGGUUGUAAACCGCUUUCGCCGGUGACGAAGCGUGAGUGACGGUAAUGGGUAAAGAAGCACCGGCUAACUACGUG